CAUGUAUAGCAGUGGAAAAGAUUUUUGGUACUUUGGUACAAAUUUUUUGGUACAUUUUAAAUCCAAAUUAAAUCCUCAUUAAUCACUCUCUCACUGCCAUAAUCCAGGCAUACUGUAGUUUAUUAUUAUAAUCAUUUAUUAUUUUCAUUACUGAAUUCAUUAUUCAUUGCUGCAUUCCAGCAAAUAUAUAUUUUUAAUAAAAUGAAUUUUAUUGAAUCGUAAUAAUUCUGAGCAGACAUGCUUUCAAUACACAUCUGCUAUAAUGAAUGUGUUUUCCAUCUAGAUGUUUAAUCCGAAUACUUUGCCUCCCGGCCCGGAGGGGACACAGUCUGGAGAGGUCAGAUCCUCAUUUGAUACCUUAUCACUUCUCCUUUAAAGCUGCUUCAUCCUGUCACGCCCCACUCCUUCACCCAUGAAUGCAUAUUAACACGGUUAUAACCACACAUAUGCUCACUUGUACACUUACUACCUCUGAAACACACACACAUUGUAACUUGCAUCUCUAACUGUAUUCUAUGAUUAUGAGCUUUGAUUAUGAUCACACAGAGAGCAUGAGUGUGUGGGAGCGUGUCUGAGGACUACACGCUGCUGAGGCGUGAUGUAAUCCUAUUUUAAUGAUUGACGAGAUGUGUGAUUUAAGAUGGCGCUGCAUGGGAUUAAUUGGGGUUUGUGGUGUUUUUGUUUGUUUGUUUGUUUGUUUCAUUUAUUCCUGCUGUUCUAGCUGUCACGUUCUAGCUCAAUGAGUUCUCUAUCACGAGAAGUGAGUCAGCAUUUAAAUCAGGUACUUUCAGCUGGUUCUUAUCUGAAAUACAUAUGCAUAGUAAAACACAUUCACACAUGCUGUCUGCACGCUUCUAACAUCACACAAUUAUAGCCACACCUCCAGCACGACACCUGUAUGUGUCACCAGCAGCCCAGACUGAGUAACCGGCCAAUAGGAAGGGCUCUUGGAUUUCAGAGGCGUGCUGAAGCUUGAGGCUCCGCCCCCUUUUGGUGCACAACAUAUUAACCAAUCACGUGCUGCAUGCUAAUCAUGACUUUCAGUGGGCAUGGCUGUCUGUAUCCAUGGUGAUGGGUAGUGAUGUUGCUCUCCUGUCCAAAUAGUAAUCGCAAAUGUGUUCUCAUAGGUUCCUGCUCAGCCACCAACGCAAGGAGCUCCGCCUGCAGGAGGCGUGACCUUUUAUAACCCCUCCCAGUUCGCGCAGUCUGUUCCCACAAGCCGUGCUCGAUCUGGUCGUCUGGGACAGAGAGGAUACCCCACAAUCAAAUAAGAGCAUCACUGUAGUUCUAGAUCAAACUGUGGUUCUAGACCAGAUCGGACUGAAGUUUGCUUCCUGCCUGGACUCCUGGAAGAGCUGGCAUGCAGCCCUCAGCCGCCCGAAUAACGUAAUCAUUGCUGUCAUGAUCAUGGUUUGCCCAUCCGUGCUGAAGUCGGAGCGAAUGAAUUGGACUCGUCAUCAUCUGUUUCUUCUUCUAGACUCAUCAUACCCAUUACAGUCUAACUCUACCGUCUUGUUCUGCAUUUGUACGGACCAGCGGCGCGUCCUCAAUGUGAGCAGUGUGAAUAUAAGUGCAAUAUGUUGAUUUUUAGCCCUGUGUAGUUUGAUUUCCUUUAGUAGUCUGCUCAUUUCAGCAGGGUGAGUGUGAGUGUGUUUGCAUGCGUGAGUGGGGAGGAAAUGUGGGCGUGUCUUGCUGAUGGACGCCAGCCAAUGCAUGAGUUAGAGGGUGGUCUGACCUGUUGUCAUGGGAACAGUGCAGCGUACCAGAAUGUUUUAGAUAUUUAUUAAGCUUCCGGUCAAAACACCAUCGCCGGACAGGAAAUCGUACAUCAGAGUGAGUUUGUGUACCCUCUCAUCUCUUUUACCGUCUCCUGAAUGAAUCCUUCAUUUUGCCAGUAGCAAAGAAUCAUACAUUUAUAUGAUUUACCAAAAUCCUGUGAUCAUUGUGCGUGUUUUGCUCAUAAAAUAUCAUUUAUUAUUUUCCUGGCUUCAUCUCGCUCUCUGAUCGGUCGUCUUCGUGUCUCUUAAUCACAUGCUGUUUUUGCUUUGCUCGUUCCGGGGUCCUUGUUCCCAUGGUAACAGCGGGGUUUUGUAAUUCCAAAGGUCUGCUCUGUUUGAAGGAAGCUCUGACUUUUCCAAUGUGUUUAGAAAUUGACUGUACAAUUCUUGAUAAAGUGAUAAUAAAGAUAUUUUUGAGCUCUUUAAUGUUUCAUAUUAUUUCAUAAUACAGUUAUUAUGAGG
ensembl:lncRNA